AGAGUUUGAUCCUGGCUCAGAACGAACGCUGGCGGCGUGCCUAACACAUGCAAGUCGUACGCGAAAGGGGGCAACCCCCGGUAGCGUGGCAGACGGGUGAGUAACACGUGGGUAACCUGCCCCGAGGUGGGGAAUAACUUUCCGAAAGGAAGGCUAAUACCGCAUGACAUCGAGAGGUCCUUGGGCCUUUCGAUCAAAGCUGGCCUCUGUUUACAAGCUAGCGCCACGGGAGGGACCCGCGCCCCAUUAGCUAGUUGGUGAGGUAACGGCUCACCAAGGCAACGAUGGGUAGCCGGCCUGAGAGGGUGAUCGGCCACACUGGAACUGAGACACGGUCCAGACUCCUACGGGAGGCAGCAGUGAGGAAUAUUGCGCAAUGGGCGAAAGCCUGACGCAGCGACGCCGCGUGGAGGAUGAAGGUCUUCGGAUUGUAAACUCCUGUCGUGCGGGACGAAUGCCUCGGUCGUGAAUAACGGCCGGGGUUGACGGUACCGCAGGAGGAAGCCCCGGCUAACUCCGUGCCAGCAGCCGCGGUAAUACGGAGGGGGCCAGCGUUGUUCGGAAUCAUUGGGCGUAAAGGGCGCGUAGGCGGCCGAUCAAGUCGAACGUGAAAUCUCCCGGCUCAACCGGGAACCUGCGUCCGAUACUGUUCGGCUCGAGUCCCGGAGAGGGUAGUGGAAUUCCCAGUGUAGCGGUGAAAUGCGUAGAUACUGGGGAGGAACACCGGUGGCGAAGGCGGCUACCUGGACGGGUACUGACGCUGAGGCGCGAGAGCUGGGGGAGCAAACAGGAUUAGAUAC
rnacentral:rRNA from 1 species